rnacentral:rRNA from 1 species
UACGUAGGGUGCGAGCGUUGUCCGGAAUUACUGGGCGUAAAGAGCUCGUAGGUGGUUUGUCGCGUUGUUCGUGAAAACUCACAACUCAAUUGUGGGCGUGCGGGCGAUACGGGCAGACUGGAGUACUGCAGGGGAGACUGGAAUUCCUGGUGUAGCGGUGGAAUGCGCAGAUAUCAGGAGGAACACCGGUGGCGAAGGCGGGUCUCUGGGCAGUUCCUGACACUGAGACACGAAGGCCAGGGGAGCAAACGGG